GACUGCAGUAGGGCCUGAUUAGUACUUGGAUGGGAGACCGCCUGGGAAUACCAGGUGCUGUAGGCU
rnacentral:rRNA from 1 species